UGGGGAAUUUUGCGCAAUGGGCGAAAGCCUGACGCAGUAACGCCGCGUGGAGGAUGAAGGCCCUCGGGUUGUAAACUCCUGUCAGAGGGAAAGAAGAGAGCCAAUGCUAAUAGUGUUGGCUAUCAGACGGUACCCUCAAAGGAAGCCCCGGCUAAUUCCGUGCCAGCAGCCGCGGUAAUACGGAAGGGGCAAGCGUUGUUCGGAAUCAUUGGGCGUAAAGGGCGCGUAGGCGGUCACGUAUGUCUGCUGUGAAAGUACACGGCUCAACCGUGUGAAGUCGGUAGAAACUGCGAGACUUGAGGCUGGGAGAGGUUGGUGGAAUUCCCUGUGUAGCGGUGAAAUGCGUAGAUAUAGGGGAGAACACUCGUGGCGAAGGCGGCCAGCUGGACCAGCCCUGACGCUGAGGCGCGACAGCGUGGGGGAGCAAACAGGAUUAGAUACCCUGGUAGUCCACGCCGUAAACGAUAGGGCACUAGGUGUUGGCGGUACUGAUUCCGU
rnacentral:rRNA from 1 species